GGUUAAGCGACUAAGCGUACACGGUGGAUGCCCUGGCAGUCAGAGGCGAUGAAGGACGUGCUAAUCUGCGAUAAGCGUCGGUAAGGUGAUAUGAACCGUUAUAACCGGCGAUUUCCGAAUGGGGAAACCCAGUGUGUUUCGACACACUAUCAUUAACUGAAUCCAUAGGUUAAUGAGGCGAACCGGGGGAACUGAAACAUCUAAGUACCCCGAGGAAAAGAAAUCAACCGAGAUUCCCCCAGUAGCGGCGAGCGAACGGGGAGCAGCCCAGAGCCUGAAUCAGUGUGUGUGUUAGUGGAAGCGUCUGGAAAGGCGCGCGAUACAGGGUGACAGCCCCGUACACAAAAAUGCACAUGCUGUGAGCUCGAUGAGUAGGGCGGGACACGUGGUAUCCUGUCUGAAUAUGGGGGGACCAUCCUCCAAGGCUAAAUACUCCUGACUGACCGAUAGUGAACCAGUACCGUGAGGGAAAGGCGAAAAGAACCCCGGCGAGGGGAGUGAAAAAGAACCUGAAACCGUGUACGUACAAGCAGUGGGAGCACGCUUAGGCGUGUGACUGCGUACCUUUUGUAUAAUGGGUCAGCGACUUAUAUUCUGUAGCAAGGUUAACCGAAUAGGGGAGCCGAAGGGAAACCGAGUCUUAACUGGGCGUUAAGUUGCAGGGUAUAGACCCGAAACCCGGUGAUCUAGCCAUGGGCAGGUUGAAGGUUGGGUAACACUAACUGGAGGACCGAACCGACUAAUGUUGAAAAAUUAGCGGAUGACUUGUGGCUGGGGGUGAAAGGCCAAUCAAACCGGGAGAUAGCUGGUUCUCCCCGAAAGCUAUUUAGGUAGCGCCUCGUGAACUCAUCUCCGGGGGUAGAGCACUGUUUCGGCAAGGGGGUCAUCCCGACUUACCAACCCGAUGCAAACUGCGAAUACCGGAGAAUGUUAUCACGGGAGACACACGGCGGGUGCUAACGUCCGUCGUGAAGAGGGAAACAACCCAGACCGCCAGCUAAGGUCCCAAAGUCAUGGUUAAGUGGGAAACGAUGUGGGAAGGCCCAGACAGCCAGGAUGUUGGCUUAGAAGCAGCCAUCAUUUAAAGAAAGCGUAAUAGCUCACUGGUCGAGUCGGCCUGCGCGGAAGAUGUAACGGGGCUAAACCAUGCACCGAAGCUGCGGCAGCGACACUAUGUGUUGUUGGGUAGGGGAGCGUUCUGUAAGCCUGUGAAGGUGUGCUGUGAGGCAUGCUGGAGGUAUCAGAAGUGCGAAUGCUGACAUAAGUAACGAUAAAGCGGGUGAAAAGCCCGCUCGCCGGAAGACCAAGGGUUCCUGUCCAACGUUAAUCGGGGCAGGGUGAGUCGACCCCUAAGGCGAGGCCGAAAGGCGUAGUCGAUGGGAAACAGGUUAAUAUUCCUGUACUUGGUGUUACUGCGAAGGGGGGACGGAGAAGGCUAUGUUGGCCGGGCGACGGUUGUCCCGGUUUAAGCGUGUAGGCUGGUUUUCCAGGCAAAUCCGGAAAAUCAAGGCUGAGGCGUGAUGACGAGGCACUACGGUGCUGAAGCAACAAAUGCCCUGCUUCCAGGAAAAGCCUCUAAGCAUCAGGUAACAUCAAAUCGUACCCCAAACCGACACAGGUGGUCAGGUAGAGAAUACCAAGGCGCUUGAGAGAACUCGGGUGAAGGAACUAGGCAAAAUGGUGCCGUAACUUCGGGAGAAGGCACGCUGAUAUGUAGGUGAAGUCCCUUGCGGAUGGAGCUGAAAUCAGUCGAAGAUACCAGCUGGCUGCAACUGUUUAUUAAAAACACAGCACUGUGCAAACACGAAAGUGGACGUAUACGGUGUGACGCCUGCCCGGUGCCGGAAGGUUAAUUGAUGGGGUCAGCGCAAGCGAAGCUCUUGAUCGAAGCCCCGGUAAACGGCGGCCGUAACUAUAACGGUCCUAAGGUAGCGAAAUUCCUUGUCGGGUAAGUUCCGACCUGCACGAAUGGCGUAAUGAUGGCCAGGCUGUCUCCACCCGAGACUCAGUGAAAUUGAACUCGCUGUGAAGAUGCAGUGUACCCGCGGCAAGACGGAAAGACCCCGUGAACCUUUACUAUAGCUUGACACUGAACAUUGAGCCUUGAUGUGUAGGAUAGGUGGGAGGCUUGGAAGUGUGGACGCCAGUCUGCAUGGAGCCGACCUUGAAAUACCACCCUUUAAUGUUUGAUGUUCUAACGUUGACCCGUAAUCCGGGUUGCGGACAGUGUCUGGUGGGUAGUUUGACUGGGGCGGUCUCCUCCUAAAGAGUAACGGAGGAGCACGAAGGUUGGCUAAUCCUGGUCGGACAUCAGGAGGUUAGUGCAAUGGCAUAAGCCAGCUUGACUGCGAGCGUGACGGCGCGAGCAGGUGCGAAAGCAGGUCAUAGUGAUCCGGUGGUUCUGAAUGGAAGGGCCAUCGCUCAACGGAUAAAAGGUACUCCGGGGAUAACAGGCUGAUACCGCCCAAGAGUUCAUAUCGACGGCGGUGUUUGGCACCUCGAUGUCGGCUCAUCACAUCCUGGGGCUGAAGUAGGUCCCAAGGGUAUGGCUGUUCGCCAUUUAAAGUGGUACGCGAGCUGGGUUUAGAACGUCGUGAGACAGUUCGGUCCCUAUCUGCCGUGGGCGCUGGAGAACUGAGGGGGGCUGCUCCUAGUACGAGAGGACCGGAGUGGACGCAUCACUGGUGUUCGGGUUGUCAUGCCAAUGGCACUGCCCGGUAGCUAAAUGCGGAAGAGAUAAGUGCUGAAAGCAUCUAAGCACGAAACUUGCCCCGAGAUGAGUUCUCCCUGACCCUUUAAGGGUCCUGAAGGAACGUUGAAGACGACGACGUUGAUAGGCCGGGUGUGUAAGCGCAGCGAUGCGUUGAGCUAACCGGUACUAAUGAACCGUGAGGCUUAACCUU
rnacentral:rRNA from 1 species